CGGUAAUACGGAGGAUCCAAGCGUUAUCCGGAAUCAUUGGGUUUAAAGGGUCCGUAGGCGGUCAGAUAAGUCAGUGGUGAAAGCCCAUCGCUCAACGGUGGAACGGCCAUUGAUACUGUCUGACUUGGAUUAUUAGGAAGUAACUAGAAUAUGUAGUGUAGCGGUGAAAUGCUUAGAGAUUACAUGGAAUACCAAUUGCGAAGGCAGGUUACUACUAAUUGAUUGACGCUGAUGGACGAAAGCGUGGGUAGCGAACAGGAUUAGAUACCCUGGUAGUCCACGCCGUAAACGAUGGAUACUAGCUGUUGGGAGCAAUCUCAGUGGCUAAGCGAAAGUGAUAAGUAUCCCACCUGGGGAGUACGUUCGCAAGAAUGAA
rnacentral:rRNA from 1 species